rnacentral:lncRNA from 10 species
AGUUUGAUCUCAGACUGCUGUGCUAGCAAUCAGCGAGACUCCGUGGGCGUAGGACCCUCCGAGCCAGACAUCUUCUGUAACCAGAAGCACUCCAAGAACAACACUUUCAUUCAUGGACUUAACAACUACAUUAGAUCAUACCAGCCUGUCACUUCAAAGUCACCAGUGUCAAGGAACAUUUCAAAUUGGCUUAAAGCAUUGUUUUGGAGGUGUGAAUAAUGAAGCCAAGGACAUUAGCAACAUCAUGAAAGCAGGCAUCAAGUGAAUAGAGAAGAUUCUAUGGAUGUAGAAGAGGUCCCUGGGUUUCCGAAUUGCCACUGGAUUGCCUCUAUCAAAUACACAAGAGUUUCAUGAGUGAGAAAUAACCUUCUGUUGCUUUAAAUCUUGGGUUGUGCAAUACAUCAGUGAGCCUACCAUGACUAAUACAUUCUAUGGAUGCAGAUUUCUCUUCUCUGGCCAUUGACAUGAGUGUGCUUUCUGGAUGCAGGUUGGUGUAUAUUGCUAUCAUUUUCUGCCUUCUCAUGUUUGAUCUGGCUCUUAACCAGUUAUU